ensembl:lncRNA STAG3L4 STAG3 cohesin complex component like 4 (pseudogene)
AGGGUCACAAGGGAGAUGUCCGCCCCCAGUCGUAGCCUCGGACGGUUUCUGAGCGUUGGUGUUUGGCACGCGCCACCCUCUCUUGCUUUGGUUCCGCCAUGCCGAUGUACCAGGUAAAACCUUAUCACGGGCGCGGCGCGCCUCUCCGUGUGGAGCUUCCCACCUGCAUGUACCGGCUCUCUAACGUGCAAGGCAGGAGCGGCGGCCCAGCGCCCGGCGUUGGCCACCUACAGUCUUUGGUAGAUGAGUGGCUGGAUAGCUACAAGCAAGACCAGGAUGCAGGAUUUCUGGAGCUUGUUAACUUUUUCAUCUGAUCUUGUGGAUGUAAAGGACUCGGGGGACUAUCCUCUGACAGCUCCAGGUCUAUCCUGGAAGAAGUUCCAGGGCAGCUUCUGUGAGUUUGUGGGGACAUUGGUCUGUCGGUGCCAGUACAUCCUCCUCCAUGAUGACUUCCCUAUGGACAACCUCAUCUCCCUGCUCACUGGCUUCUCAGACUCACAAGUCUGCGCCUUCUGUCACACUAGCACCCUGGCUGCUAUGAAACUGAUGACCUCCCUGGUAAGAGUUGCCCUCCAACUGAGUCUGCACGAAGAUAUCAAUCAGCGUCAGUAUGAGGCUGAAAGAAACAAGGGGCCAGGGCAGAGGGCACCUGAGCGGCUGGAGAGCCUGUUGGAGAAACACAAAGAGCUGCAUUAAUACUACAUUGUCAAAGACAAAGACGAACAUGAGACAUGCGAUAUGAGUUUUAAAAGGAGAGAAGAGCAAAAAAACAAUACAGCUAUCCAAGGAGCAAGUGCUGAGCUUGUGAAAAAACAGCUUCUAUUUUAUUAAAUAAUAGUGUUCCUGCAGGGAUGUCUGAAGUACUCUGCAAGGCUAAUUAGGACAGAUCAAUGUACACUUACCUCUCCAGAAGGCUGAAAGAUACAGACUGAAAUGUUACCAGAUAAAAUGAUGUCAUGUCUGGGAUUCGCUUCAAAAUAAUUUGAGGUGGAAGUGGAAAGUGGAAACAACAAUUAUGAAACAACCUGGCCCAUGAGAUGAUAGCUGUGGAAGGUAGGUAUGGUUAUACAAAAUUUCAUUACACUUUUCCCUCUACUUUUCUAAUAUAUUCUGAAUUUUCAUAACAAAAAGUUAAAUACACUUAAAAGUAGACAAAUACUAAUUUGAGGUGGUGGUUAAGGACUCAGAAGUUACAGUCCAUGUGUCUGAAUGAAAGUACUUUCUCAAACAUGCAGAUAUCAGAGAUUUGUAGGAUUCCUUCAAUGGAGACCCAUGUUUUCUCCACACAGAACACUGGUUUCUGAGCAAAAGUAGGCCCUCUUUCUGAAAACAGAUCUGACAAUAUGAAAGUGGUUGGCUACUUAACUGAAGAUACCAAAAGGAAAAAAAAAAAGGACACCAAAAAACUGGGUCUACAAAUGUGGUUGUUGGUUCUCCUUGUUUUUUUUUUCAAAUAAGGCUCGGUUUAGGAGCAGUCUAAUAGAGCAUGUGACUGCUAUACUUCCAACAGUAUCUUUGCAAAUAAAUACAACCCAUACAAUUUAAUUGUC